rnacentral:rRNA from 1 species
UACGUAGGGUGCAAGCGUUGUCCGGAAUUAUUGGGCGUAAAGAGCUCGUAGGCGGUCUGUCACGUCGGCUGUGAAAACCCGAGGCUCAACCUCGGGCCUGCAGUCGAUACGGGCAGACUGGAGUACUGCAGGGGAGACUGGAAUUCCUGGUGUAGCGGUGGAAUGCGCAGAUAUCAGGAGGAACACCGGUGGCGAAGGCGGGUCUCUGGGCAGUAACUGACGCUGAGGAGCGAAAGCGUGGGGAGCGAACAGG